rnacentral:tRNA from 1 species
UGGCUCAGUUGGUAGAGCGUGGUGUUUGCAACGCCAGGGUUGUGGGUUCGAUUCUCAU